UCAUGACAAUUUUCCGGUGAUAUAAUUAUCCAUUAUUGUCAGCCUCAGUUAGCCCAGCAGUGGAGUUAAGGUAAAUUAUGUUAAUUUAGUCCACUCUAUGUCGGCGUGGAAAAUAAGCAAUUGUUUAAAUAAUGCAGUAGUAGCUGUUACCACAUGAAUGGGUUGUCAACGCUUUAGCACUGAGAUCACGUAGUUGGCAGAUAAAUGUUUGAGAAGUUUUAAAACUAGCACGCCCACAUUCCUGUAAUUCAAAAUAAAGAAAAAAAGCUACGGACAGUUUAAGUAUCUUAUAUCUUCUCAAAGAUAUCUUACAGACAUACGGGGGCAAGGUACCUUGAAAAGAGAAUGUUAUAUACUUUAUGGAGCUCAGCAUUGCUUAAAUU